CAAAUCUACUAGUGUGAGUAG
rnacentral:miRNA from 1 species